AUACGGAGGAUCCGAGCGUUAUCCGGAUUUAUUGGGUUUAAAGGGUGCGCAGGCGGCCAUUUAAGUCAGCGGUUAAAUCGUGGGGCUCAACCCCAUUCUGCCGUUGAUACUGGGUGGCUUGAUUGCGGUCGAGGUUGGCGGAAUUCGUUGUGUGGCGGUGAAAUGCAUAGAUAUGACGAAGAACACCGAUUGCGUAGGCAGCUGACCAGACCGCAAAUGACGCUCAUGCACGAAAGUGCGGGGAUCGAACAGGAUUAGAUACCCUGGUAGUCCGCACAGUAAACGAUGAAUACUUGUUUUCGGCGAUAUAAUGUCGGAGGCAAAGCGAAAGCGAUAAGUAUUCCACCUGGGGAGUACGCCGGCAACGGUGAAAC
rnacentral:rRNA from 1 species